rnacentral:tRNA from 2 species
GGGUCAUUAGUAUAGAGGUAGUAUGCCUGCUUCGGGUCGUUCUGAAGCAUCCUGUGGUUGUUACACAAUCAUGAUUUGCAGGUGACCCCGGUUCGAACCCGGGAUGACCCC